GAGCACAGGCAGCUGGACCCCGGGGGCCCCAGUGAGGCCCUGCAAAUUAAUUAAGCUUUGCAGCCCUGCCAUGAGAUGCUGAGGUAAUUGCAAUGCUCACGCCCUGGGAGACCACACACCACCAGGCCAUUCUCAUUUCCUUCUUUCUUUAUGAGGCUGGUUUUGGAGGACAGACACUGAAAAAUGGAGAACCAUGCACUCAACCACGCAGUCCUUUACAGGGAGGUGAAGCUGAGAACCAACAUCUGCAAAAUAUCUAUCAAAAAGGAGAAAAAGGCCCUGCUUUCUGAGAGGAAAAUUAAUUUUGACAUCUUAAUUAUAAGUUGGAGGAAAGGUUGGUGCUAGAAUAGUAAGCUUUGAAGAUUAUUAUAUUGUCAUUAUUCAUUAAUGACUACAAAAGUAACUAGCUCUAAAUGAUAAUGGUAAAGCGUAAUGGCAAAUCUAUGAAGCUGCUAUUAUAUCCCAUUUAUUCCAAAGGAGUCCUUUACUAUUAACCUGAUAACAAAAAACAAAAGUACUAAUAAGGUUUUGGCCCACAGUGACAUGUAUCGCUGUACAAACACUACCAGGGAAAA